CAGUCGCCGCGGGAAUACGUAGGUCCCGAGCGUUGUCCGGAUUUAUUGGGCGUAAAGGGAGCGCAGGCGGUUUAGUAAGUCUGAAGUUAAAGGCAUUGGCUCAACCAAUGUAUGCUUUGGAAACUGUUAGACUUGAGUGCAGAAGGGGAGAGUGGAAUUCCAUGUGUAGCGGUGAAAUGCGUAGAUAUAUGGAGGAACACCGGUGGCGAAAGCGGCCCUCUGGUCUGUCACUGACGCUGAGGCUCGAAAGCGUGGGUAGCGAACAGGAUUAGAUACCCCAGUAGUCCCUGUCUCUUAUACA
rnacentral:rRNA from 1 species